UACGUAGGGGGCAAGCGUUGUCCGGAUUUAUUGGGCGUAAAGAGCGUGUAGGCGGUUUGGUAGGUCCGCUGUGAAAACUCGAGGCUCAACCUCGAGACGCCGGUGGAAACCAUCAGACUAGAGUCCGGAAGAGGAGAGUGGAAUUCCUGGUGUAGCGGUGAAAUGCGCAGAUAUCAGGAAGAACCCCCGUGGCUAAGGCGGCUCUCUAGUACGGUACUGACGCUGAGACGCGAAAGCGUGGGGAGCGAACAGG
rnacentral:rRNA from 1 species